rnacentral:rRNA from 1 species
GACGAACGCUGGCGGCGCGCUUAACACAUGCAAGUCGAACGGAAAGGCCCUGCUUUUGUGGGGUGCUCGAGUGGCGAACGGGUGAGUAACACGUGAGUAACCUGCCCUUGACUUUGGGAUAACUUCAGGAAACUGGGGCUAAUACCGGAUAGGAGCUCCUGCUGCAUGGUGGUGGUUGGAAAGUUUCGGCGGUUGGGGAUGGACUCGCGGCUUAUCAGCUUGUUGGUGGGGUAGUGGCUUACCAAGGCUUUGACGGGUAGCCGGCCUGAGAGGGUGACCGGCCACAUUGGGACUGAGAUACGGCCCAGACUCCUACGGGAGGCAGCAGUGGGGAAUAUUGCACAAUGGGCGGAAGCCUGAUGCAGCAACGCCGCGUGCGGGAUGACGGCCUUCGGGUUGUAAACCGCUUUCGCCUGUGACGAAGCGUGAGUGACGGUAAUGGGUAAAGAAGCACCGGCUAACUACGUG